UUGUCUUUGUGGACAACAACGCUCAUCUGAAGGGACUACCGUCAUAUCUUUAUAACAAAGUCAUCGGCUGCAGUGGAUGUGGUCUAGCUGCGCAGAUCUCUGACGUGAAGCAGCUCUGUCUGACACUGGGAGAUGUGACUGUUCCUCUGCCCUCUGAACUGAAGACCAUCGGCUCUGAGACUGACCAUGUGUUGCCUCUGGAAGAGCUGGCAUGCAGAGUCCUACAUGUGGCCUACAACAGGACCAGUAAGGAUGUGAAGUUCCUGACACCAUUCCUGUUGCCCAAGAGUCUGCUAGAUGUGGUCCAGUGGCCUCUGGGUCAUUGUCACCGCUGCAGUCAGCCCAUGUUCACCAUCGUCUACCCUAA